rnacentral:lncRNA from 13 species
ACUUAACAUUGGGAGAUUGCCUCUUAAAUGACAAAACAAAUAUGUUUUAAGACUUUCUGACAUAUAUUCUGGGGAGCACUCCACAUUCCUGAGGGGACCUUGGACACAUGUCAAGGAGUUAAACAGACAUCCUCUGGAGUAGCUGAAACUGAGACAGCUAGAAGUCUGCAAGAGAAAUGCAUCUGUCUAUCCUAAUUAGACAACCUGGGCAGCAAAAAUAAACACGGAUUUCUACAAAGCCCCAAAUCAAGAGUCACAAAGGCAUAAAUUACUAAUGAAGUAUCAUCUACCCCGAUCUAAACAAUAUCCAUCAUCAAGCUAUGCUGUCAAUCUGGAGGCUCCCACUCUUCAUUUCUGCUUAUCAGAUACUUUCCUCUUCUUCAAGAGCUAAAGUCCAAUCUUACCAGUUCUGAGAAGACUUUUCUCAUCAUAUCAAAGGGAAGGGUUGAUCUGUUUUUCAUUUCUUUAACAUUUACUGUCUAUAGUCUAAAUUUUUGUCUUGAAUGACUGCCUCUGACUUUUUAUGUAACUUGUCCAUCAGCUGUAUCAUAUGCCCUAGCAUGUUAUGCUACCUUAUGGCUCCCG